GGAGAGGUCGCAUAGUGGCCGAGUGCAGCGGUUUACUAAACCGCCGUAGGGUAACCUACCGUGGGUUCGAAUCCCACUCUCUCCGCCA
rnacentral:tRNA from 1 species